UACGUAGGGUGCGAGCGUUGUCCGGAAUUAUUGGGCGUAAAGAGCUCGUAGGCGGUUUGUCGCGUCUAUCGUGAAAACCUGGGGCUUAACUCCGGGCUUGCGGUGGAUACGGGCAGACUUGAGUUCGGUAGGGGAGACUGGAAUUCCUGGUGUAGCGGUGAAAUGCGCAGAUAUCAGGAGGAACACCAGUGGCGAAGGCGGCUCACUGGUCCGGUACUGACGCUGAGGUGCGAAAGCGUGGGGAGCAAACAGG
rnacentral:rRNA from 1 species